UCCAUAAUUAAUGUUAUAUGUUACAAAGGACACCCCCUUUAACAUUUAAACUCAGCCUGCUCUAGGCACCAGGUGUUCUAUCUUGAUCACACCAACCUACCCUUAUCACCACUUUCCUCAGCCUAACUUUGGACCUGAUUAAGUACUAGAUCUCCUCAAACAAAACUCUCAGAAAUAAAACUGCAACAAACUAAACAGUAGUUUUCUCAUAUUAAGAGAAGACUCUCCUCUGGGGCAGAAAAUUAAAAGAAAGCAGCACCUCUGAGGAGGUAAAAAGAACCCAGAAUUGGGGUGAAUUCAUCAGUUCUCUGUUUCAAUCAAAAAGAGGAACACAAUAUGCGCUUCUCCAAAAUGUAUAAAAGCAAAAAUAUAUGUAAAUUCACGAAUUCAUUAAA
rnacentral:lncRNA from 1 species